rnacentral:rRNA from 1 species
UACAGAGGUCUCAAGCGUUGUUCGGAUUCAUUGGGCGUAAAGGGUGCGUAGGCGGCGCGGUAAGUCGGGUGUGAAAUCCCGAGGCUCAACCUCGGGUCUGCAGUCGAUACGGGCAAACUAGAGUAUUGCAGGGGAGACUGGAAUUCCUGGUGUAGCGGUGAAAUGCGCAGAUAUCAGGAGGAACACCAGUGGCGAAGGCGGGUCUCUGGGCAAUAACUGACGCUGAGGAGCGAAAGCGUGGGGAGCGAACAGG